UACGUAGGGGGCAAGCGUUGUUCGGAAUUACUGGGCGUAAAGGGCGCGUAGGCGGUACGACAAGUCGGGAGUGAAAGCCCGGGGCUCAACCCUGGAACUGCUUUCGAAACUGUCGAACUCGAGUGCGGAAGAGGCAACUGGAAUUCCCAGUGUAGCGGUGAAAUGCGUAGAUAUUGGGAAGAACACCUGAGGCGAAGGCGGGUUGCUGGGCUGACACUGACGCUGAGGCGCGAAAGCCAGGGGAGCAAACGGG
rnacentral:rRNA from 1 species